CACGUGGGUAAUCUGCCCUGCACAUCGGGAUAAGCCUGGGAAACUGGGUCUAAUACCGGAUAUGACUACGGGACGCAUGUCCUGUGGUGGAAAGCUUUUGCGGUGUGGGAUGGGCCCGCGGCCUAUCAGCUUGUUGGUGGGGUGAUGGCCUACCAAGGCGACGACGGGUAGCCGGCCUGAGAGGGUGUCCGGCCACACUGGGACUGAGAUACGGCCCAGACUCCUACGGGAGGCAGCAGUGGGAAAUAUUGCACAAUGGGCGCAAGCCUGAUGCAGCGACGCCGCGUGGGGGAUGACGGC
rnacentral:rRNA from 1 species